UGUGAUACUAGCUUUUGUAUUGAUGUCAUUGUGAUGUGCAUCUUUAUAUAACUACAAAGUAUGAAUUAAUUUGUAAAGGCAGGUGUAAACUAAAAGUAGAUCUAUGUUACCGGUGAAGCUGGUAGAGAGACAGUUGGUGUACGUCACGUGAUCUGCGCGUACCCGACAGCGCGCGCGCCCUUUCGCAUGUGUGUCAAACUGCGCAUGCGCCUCGCAGCCAAUCACGGGCGUCACACCGCAGCUUUUGCGGAUCUGACAAGUCUGCGGCAGCGCUAGCAGACUUGGAGGCAGAGGGAUGGACUCCCGGUACCGAGAGGGACACGGAGGCCUCGGCGGCCAGCAUGUCUCCUAAUCCAGUCUGACCGCAGCCCUCCUCCCUCCCGAGGACAGCACCACGACACCCCGCUGAGUGGACGCACACACCGGACUGUCGUUCACAGGAUGCCCAUCGAGGACCGGGCCAGGAAGACGCUCCGGUGCCGUUUUCCACCCCCCCUGCUGGUGUCAGCGUAGGAUGGAGAGCUCCAACGACUCUGACACCAGAGCCAGCCAGCAGCACCAGCCGGAGAAGAAGAGACCGAACCGGGUUUCCUCCCCGGCCAGACCGUUCCUGAAGGACGUCCACGCCUGCUCCGCCAAGCCGCCAACUAUCGGACCCAAAUCCUCCAAACUCGGCAAGCAGCUGCAAGCUCCGAGCCGCGGCUCCAGACGUAACAUCACCCCGGGGAAAGAGAAGCCCGCCGCGGCCAGGAGCUGCACCAAGGCCGGAGGGAGCAAGCCCAGCAGGCUGCCCCAGCAUGGAAGCCCGGCCGCCGGCAGCCCCGUCCUCGCUAAGGCCAAGAAGGGCAAGCUCUUCAGCAUCAGCCAUGGUUCUCCUGUCAGGGUACCGACCGGACUCCUGGUCGCCCAGACCGACAGCAGCUCCGACCUUUCGGACUGCCCGUCCGAGCUGGCACCGGCGGCCAGCAGCGACGCGGAGUCCGGGACCGGCUCCAGUGACCGGGAUCCCCUGGGAGUGGACCUCCCGGCGAUGCAGGCUGCAGCCGCGGUCAGCACCGGCGAGCCUCAUCCGGUUCCCAAGGGGUCAGCGUGCCUGGUCCAGUCCGGUCCUCGGGUCACUGUCGAGAAACCCAAAACCACGACGAGUCCACAAGGAGGCAAGUGCGGCACCGAGGACGACCUGCUGAGGGAGAUUGAGGACUUGAGAUCUGAAAAUGAUUAUUUGAAGGACGAGGUGGAGGAGCUGCACGCCGAGAUGGAGGAGCUGCGCGACACCUUCAUGGACGAGGAGGUCUACCAGCUGCAGGAACUGCGGCGCGAGCUGGACCGCUCCAACAAGAACUGUCGCAUCCUCCAGUACCGACUGAGGAAGGCGGAGCAGAAGAGUCUGCGGGUUGCACAGACGGGCCACGUGGAUGGAGAGCUCCUACGCAGCCUGGAACAGGACCUCAAGGUGGCCAAAGACGUCUCGGUGCGUCUCCACAACGAGUUGGAGAGCGUGGAGGACAAACGCAGUCGGGCCGAGGACGAGAACGAGCAGCUCCGCCAAAGGAUCAUCGAGGUGGAGAUCUCCAAGCAGGCGCUGCACAACGAGCUGGAGCGUGCCAAAGAGACUGCACCAAAGCGACGAGGGCUCUCCUUUAAGGACAAGAAAUCCACGAACCAGGAAGACAGUGCUGACCUCAGGUGUCAGCUCCAGUUCUCCAAAGAAGAAUCGAGCCUGAUGCGUAAAAAGAUGGCCAAGCUGGGCCGGGAGAAGGAUGAACUGGAGCAAGAGCUGCAGAAGUACAAGUCGGUUUACGGCGACGUGGACAGUCCGCUCCCUCUGGUCGAGUGCUCCAGCGGCGGCCCUCACUCCACGCGGGAGGCCGAGCUGCGACUGCGCCUCAAACUGGUGGAAGAAGAGGCCAACAUCCUGGGGAGGAAGAUCGUGGAGCUGGAGGUGGAGAACCGCAGCCUGCGUGCCGAGAACGAGGACAUCCGCUGCCAGUACGAGCGGGACUGCUUCGGCCGGGAGCCCUUCUCCAGCAUGCCUUCGUCGCCCUACGGCGGCGACGUGCUGGAGUCUGCCGGCGAGCUCCGACGCCACCUCCAGUUUGUGGAGGAGGAAGCAGAGCUGCUGCGUCGCUCCAUCGCUGAGAUCGAGGACCACAACAGGCAGCUCACCUCCGAGCUCAACCGCUUCAAGUUCGGGCCGAACAGCGGAUCAGCCGGCGAGGAUGGCAGUGAUGGAGGACUCUUCAAAACUGGCAAUGGCUCCAACGGAGGGAUGAUGAUGGAAGAGCUGAAAUCCGCCAGGAUGCAGAUCAACGAGCUGAGUGGAAAGGUGAUGAAGCUGCAGUAUGAGAACCGGGUCCUUCUGUCCAACGUCCAGCGCUGUGACCUGGCAGCACACCUGGUCCUGAGAACCGCCAGCCCUCGGGACAGCGACGUCGACAGCGACGCAGGACGUCGCGAAUCCGCCGAAGAAGAGGAAGCAGGACGCCUCCUUCUCCUCCAACCAAAGAGAGAAGGCCCCAUAGGAGGGGAGAGCGACUCUGAAGACCUCUUUGAGAAAACCACCACCAACACCACCUCAGGGUUUGGAAGUGUCCCACCUUCUGACGGCAUUGAGCUCAGUGCCACACAACUGGCCAACCGCCCCAGAGAAGAGCGGGAGUCCUUCGCGAACGUGAAGCGGGAAGCUGACAGACUUGGGAAGUCUGUGGACCGCCUGAUUACCGACACAGACAGUCUGAUCCUGGACGGCGAGCUUGUAGUGACGACGGGGGAAAGUCCGCACAGGGGAGCUGCGGACCCCCAAGUCCUGGACACAAUUAACACGCGGAUGAAGGCUUUCCGCACCGAGCUGCACAUCUUUGUGGAGAAGCUGGAACACGUCGGGGAAGGACUUCGGGAAAGGACGGAUGACCUCUCCCCGAUGCCGAACCUGACCGAGUCCAGCAGCUUCCUGUCCACCGUCACCUCCAUGUCUCGAGAUUCUCCCAUCGGCACUUUCGGGAGAGACCUGGUGACGGACUUCCAGUCCGGUCAGAGGGAUGAGCUGGAGUGGCGUGUAGGACAGAAGCGAGGCGUGGAGCCCCACAGCCAGGGUGGGAGCAGGGGAGCAGCAAGACUCAAUAGGUACCAGGGGCCCCUGGUUUUAAGAGCAGAGCUACGGGAGGCGCCCACUGCUGACGGGCACCUGCUGCGUGCCGAUCACGAAAGAAGGAUGAGAGUCGCGUUGGACGAACGGGAAACUGUCGCCUCGCCGCCGCAGGAGGAAAAGCGUCCACAUCCCGAGACGCAGCAUGGAGGUCUGCAGCUGCCAGGCCUCCAGAGUCCCGAGUCUCUGUGGGCUCAGGAGAGGGCGGCGCUGCAACAAGAGGUCCGUCUCUUCAGACGCAACACGGCCAUCUUCUACAUGAAGCUCAGGUCCAUCCUGGCCCAAUGGAGGCUCGGACGCAAAGUCCAGGCACUCGACGAGGGCGUGCAGCCACAGUUGGGGGAUAUCUCCGAGCUGAGAGGGGUGAUGCAGCAUGGCGAUGGCGACGGGUCCAGACCGGGGCCAGCGUCACCCGAUGCACACCUGCCGCACCAACAACAGUUCGAUGAUAACCGGCGAAUGCUUCAGGCGCUGCGCACCCUCCUGGAACAGUUCCGGGAGGAGCUGCGUGAGGAGGAGGCGCAGCGCUGCCAACUGCAGCAGGCCUAUGCCAACGACAAAGCCGCCUGGGAGGUCAAAUGGGCCGAGAUGAAGUGCCAGUUAGCGCAGGCGGAGGACGAGGGGCGAGGCCAAGUGAGAGGCCAGACUCAGGGAGGCGAAGGAGAAUUGGGCCGAGAACCCGAUUGGGCCCUGAAACAGGAGCGAGAGGAGCACCGGAGCCUGCUGGCUGAAAGUCACAACAUCUCGCUGGAACUCCGCUGGAGGCUGCAGCACGGCGAGAAGAGGUGGAGCCGCGAGAGGGCCGAGCUCCUCGAGUACUUGGAGCACCAGAGGCCGGAGUGGGACGGCGGAACUCGGGAGCUCCACCAAAAGAUUGAGAAGCUGCUGGGAGAUCGAAACAGCCGGCGAGGCGAGGGCACCGAGGAGUCAGACGCUAGCUCGGUCCACAGAGGACAAGACACCCCCUGUAGUGGUCUCCGCUCGUCCGCCCCUGUGUUGAUCCCGCCCGUCUGCUCCCUCUCCGACUCUGACGCCAAGCUGGAGGAGCAAAGAGGGGGCGCCAUGCGGCUGAGAAGCCCAUCCAAAAUCCCCUUCAUGGACGCUCUAACUCGAGAUCCUCUCAGCGGCCUGGAGGCCCCUCCGCCCUCCAGACUGGAGAAUGAGAAGAGGUUCCCCUGCAUUAAGGAGUCCCUGAAUGUGCUUUCAGAGAGAGAAGGCCCUCAUGAGUCUUACCCUGACGAGGAGAUGAGCGGCGGCAGUUUGCUGAGAGCCAAGUCAGUGUGCUCCAUGAGCGACUUCCAGCGUCUGAUGGACAGUUCUCCAUUUCUGCCUGACAAGAUGCGUCACGAUGAGCGAGGCCAAGACGACGUCACCCCGCCCCUCUCCCCGGAUGACCUCAAGUACAUCGAGGAGUUCAACAACAAGGGCUGGGACUUCCCCAUAUCCACCGCCAGCCCGGGUCCCGCUCAGGAGGCAUGGAGUGGCAAGACCCCGGAAACAAGAGCAGGGGAGCCAGUUAUGGAUUCCCUUCAACCGGACUCCUGGUUCCUUACCACCAGCGCCAGCUUGCUGACCACUACCAGCACCCUGACCAGCCCUGAGGCUUUUCACAAGUCUCCAAUGAGUAGCACCGGGGCCGGCGUGGCGGUGGACAAUUACGAGUUCCACAUCCGCCACAGCCCAACCAGACCUGGACCAGAUGAGCAGCCCAUAGAGGACUCUGACAUGCUCUUUGCAAAGGGGGGUAAAGGGAGAGAUGGGAUUGAGGCACCCAGUGGUCCAGAUGAGGUGUUCCCCAAUGGGCGGUGGCCAUGUGGCCUUCUGGAGGCCGGCGGCUUAAGGACUUCUCCGAGCCAGUCUCCUAUUUGCUCCACAGUGGGCUAUGCGUCCUCACUGGAGCUGCAGAUGGCUCGGAAUAUGAGUGAUGACAUGAAGGAGGUGGCCAUUUCUGUGAGAAACGCGAUCCGUCCUCUACCGGGGCCCACGGUCCGGGACACGGCCUGCCAGACCAAUGGUUUUACCACACGAGGCACUCAGACCACGCAGACUAUAAGCAUAGGUCUGCAGACUGACCUCCUGAGGAACCUGACCAGCAGCCCCCACCGCUGCCACACCCCAAAAGGGGGCAGCACUCCCAUCUCGUCGCCAUCACGGAACACGAGGAAGGUCCAGUACUCGCCGGUCAUCCAGAGCAAGUUUGAGCGGCCCUGCUGCUCGCCAAUGUACGGCUCACCCAAACUUCAGCGCAAGUUGUCCACAUCCAGCAAGGCGGAGCUACCCAACGCCAGCCGUGCCGCCACCCCUACCACCCCCCAGAAGGGCAACAGCGAGUCGGCGUGGGCCAGAUCCACGACCACACGGGACAGCCCGGUCCACACCACCAUCAACGACGGCCUCUCCAGCCUCUUCAACAUCAUCGACCACACCCCCGUUGUCUACGAUGCCAUUCAGAAGUUCAACAAGUCCCCCAGCCGCUCUCGCCCUACGCCGCCCCCCAACACAGAGCCCAGCACUGACCCCAGGAAUGAAUACACAAGGACCGCCAGGGGGCGCUCACCCAGCCCCGUACAGCUAAUAGUAGAAACGCAGGGUGACCGGAAUGUGGAGGUGGUGAGCAUUCGUCCAGACCUGUCGGCGCCCCCGGGGUACACGCUGGGCGAGAACGCGGCACGCAUCCUCAACAAGAAGCUGCAGGAGCAGAGCUUCCAAGACGAGAAGAGGAUGCAAGCCGGAGGCCCGGGAAGCAAGAUAGUCGACCUGGAUAGAGCCCAGCCGGGCUGCAUGGAGGUGCCGUCACCCCUUCCUCCUCGUUUUUACUGACUUUCCCGCUUUAUCUAUCCUCGUCAACCUCCCCGAUCCUCUUCCCUCCUUGCUCCAGAACCACACUGUCGUACUAACAACUCCAUGGGGACUCUAACUGUCCCCCGAGAUAUCAAAGAAGAGUUCAGUAGGAUAACAACACUUCAUCUGGAGCAAACCUUUUUGUCAAAACUGGACACACACACUCCCAAACUCCUGGGAGGCACAAAAAUCAGCCCGAUGCUGGAUUCACUUGGCCAGCUAUAUGUUGAAGGCAGAAGAGAUCUCAUCAUACGUUGCCUAAUGGAGUUCCUUGGAGAGUCGGGAGAGGAGCUAAUCGAAGACUGCCAGACAUGCAACUGCCAAGACAAGGUUUUCGCCGCUUACUGCUGGAUCCUUCUCCCAGGAAUGCAGGACUACUCUGGACAAGGUGUGCAGGACACCCCUGAGUUCAUGUGGACCAUCUCUGAGUGAAAACCGACUGUAUAUUUGCAGGAAAUGGAAAGAAUGAGAGAAAUGUUCACCGGAACAAUCCGUCUGAAUGAGUCAUUGGUCCUACCUGAGUCUUUUGUGGUCACCGUGGGGAAGUCAUGUGACACGGAAGUCAGUCUGAGGGAUGCUCGGGACAGCAGGGCUUCACUUUGGCCCAGGCGUCAAUGCAGCUGCAUCCAGACCACAGCACAGGGUGUGUAGGUUAGUGUUCAACAUUUAGAUGAAUGACAUCAUCAACCUUCAUGUUCACAUCCUUGCUCCAAUUCGCAGAGGCCCACCCCAGUUGGGUGGGUCCAGACUGCCCAUGCACGGCCAAAAAAACGACCACACCUCCCAUGUGUUGUUUGUUAAGGUUCGGUGCUGAACAAGCGAUGACAUCUGUUGAAAAAGCAUGUCUGCCAGCUAAUGUCAGGGUCAUGUGAUGCAAUCAUUGCUGAUACGCCAUAUGUGGAUUGUCUACCCGGAGGAACAUUUCCUGUUCUGAGAUGACACACGAGCACGCUCAAACUGAAAGUAACCCUUUCCAGUCCAGCAGUGUGUACUUUGGAUGCAUUAUUGUACAAUUUUACCCUGUUGUAGAUGUGGGAUUAUCUUAUAUACUGGCAUGCAAAAGUGUUGUCGUUCAUACAAUAACACAAUGACAAGACAUGAGGACACCUAAUGUUCACUUCUAUUGUGUUUUACUUUGGAAACCUUCUUGGAAUGUGGUAACUAACAAGGGACUUGUGAUGAUUUUGAUCUACAUUUAAAA